rnacentral:misc_RNA from 1 species
GUUGGAUGUCAACGAUGCAUGAACGUGUGAACUGAGAUUACCAUUGGGAGACCAGAUAUAACUUGGACACUGUAACCUAUGAUCAGCCUCAUAACAGGAUGCUACUGUUGCAAAGCUCAAAUGUUCUGACGCACCAUUUCCAAGAAAAGCAAGUGCUCCAAAGGAAGUAGAUUGGGUUUUAAGCUUCCUCCUUAGUAACUGCCAGAUCAUUCCUCCACCAGCCAUUUUAGCCAGCAUUUCUAUAAGAUAGUAGAGUCCUGUCAGCCACCUUGUACGUUCUUGCCCUUACCUCGAGAGGAAACCCAAAACGUCCAAAACCCACCAACCGGAAAGGGUCUCGUUUCAACCCCCAAACUGUAACUAAAGCUGUCUUGUAACCUCCAAAUGUGG